rnacentral:rRNA from 1 species
UCAUUAUUGAAUGAACUUGGUGUGGUUGUUGCUGGCCCUCUUGGGGGCAUGUGCACACCCGCCAUUCUCAUCUCUCCACCUGUGCACAUCUUGUAGACUUGGAUACACUUUCCGAGGCAACUCGGUCGGGAAGAAUGCUGUGCUCUUGGGUCAGCUUUCUUUGCAUUUCCAAGUCUAUGUUUUUCAUAUACCCUUAGUAUGUAACAGAAUGUAUAAUUGGGCCCAGUGCCUAUAAACCUUAUACAACUUUCAGCAACGGAUCUCUUGGCUCUCGCAUCGAUGAAGAACGCAGCGAAAUGCGAUAAGUAAUGUGAAUUGCAGAAUUCAGUGAAUCAUCGAAUCUUUGAACGCACCUUGCGCUCCUUGGUAUUCCGAGGAGCAUGCCUGUUUGAGUGUCAUAUAAUUCUCAACCUUAUUGGCUUUUGCUGAUAAUGGCUUGGAUGUGGGGGUCCUUUUUUGCCGGCUUCUUCAGAGGUCAGCUCCCCUUAAAUGCAUUAGCUGGUGCCCCGCGUGGACUGUCUAUUUGGUGUGAUAAUUAUCUACGCCAUGGAUGUCUUGUGUGCAUCGCUUCUAACUGUCCGUUCAUCUGGACAACAUACAUGACAAUUUGACCUCAAAUCAGGUAGGACUACCCGCUGAACUUAAGCAUAUCAAUAAGCGGAGGAAAAGAAACUAACAAGGAUUCCCCUAGUAACUGCGAGUGAAGCGGGAAAAGCUCAAAUUUAAAAUCUGGCGGUCUCAGGCUGUCCGAGUUGUAAUCUA